ensembl:lncRNA
CCCUGUGUUGCCGGGUUAGGCUCCGGUUCCCCGUGACCCCAUAUGGGACAAGCGGUUCAGACAGUGUGUGUGUGUGUGUGUGUGUGUGUGUGUGUGUGUGUGUGCGUGCGCGCGCUUCUUCUAUAUAUACACACACAGACUCAUUGAGCGGAUACCCCAGUUAUUUUGGAGACAAUAAAUAUUUUAUUUAUAUAAUGUUGUUAUAAUUUUACUGUAUGUCAAACCCCCACAGAGAUGUCUGCCAGCAUCACGUUACCUGCUGACAGCGUGGAUAACUUUUCACGACCAAAAAUGGACACGACUGCAGAAGUGGAGACGCAACUGAGACUUUUUGCUCGAUUCCACUGUAGACGUGACGCACGCGGAUGUCUCUGUGUUAUUGUACUGCACCACCAGCGUCCCAGAAAUACCCUGGUCCUGCCUCUGUGGUCCGGUCACGGUCUUCCAGGAAGCCACACACAGGCUGAUUCAAGAUGGGACUGAAAUAAGACGAGAGAAGAGGUCACCCGCUCACGGCCAGCCAUCGCGAGAAAACGUCUCUUCGAAAGCCCCAGUUCUUUGUACAGCAGCUCAAGGGAUGAGCCCCAGAUCCAGGCCAUGUGGGGGGUUCUGCUGAGAUGACUGGCCUCCAUCCGUUUUGGAAAAACAAGGUCAGGACCUGAGGCUGGACAUCUGGUUGUCGGUAAAGUCCAAGUAGUCAGUAUGACCAGCACUUUCAUUGAUUUUACCUAACCUUUCUAAGACCCCCACCUGCAGACCACCCCUACUGAUACUAAAGAACCCACUGACACUUCACCAGAAAGUGUCAAAAAUUUCAAAUGCCUUAAAACCCUUUUUGCUUAUUUACUACAAUAUUCAAAAGUGUCCGUACAGCAUGAUCACAGCAACUUAACAUUGACGUUUGCAAUGUAUUGUUUCUUAGCAAAAGAAGAGCAUUAUUAAACUUAAAUAGUGUGGACAAUCUAGCUAUAUAAAAUCAUGUAAGAGUAACCAAUUUACAGCAAUAUUCCCCAUUUAUAUACAAUUAUGUUAUAAUUAUAUAAUCAGAUCUUUUUUUUUCUCAGUUCUGAGCAGGUGUGUUGGUGUGUUGAUGGAGGAAACCGCUUCAGGAGGUGACAUUCAAAGGCAGAAGCUCUAACCACUGCACCACUUUCUGCUCACCGUCAUAUGGUUAGCCUCCUGAUCCUAAAAGCUAAACCAUGUCUGAACGGAACUUUUUUCUAAUUAAAAGCAGAAAGGACUGAGUUGUAAUGCUCAUGGAUAUAUCCACAUGUAAUGCAGUAAAUCAGCUCAGAUCAUGAAAAUAUUCAAUUAUGAGCACAGCUAAUGUGUACUAUAUGUUUUUAAAAAUCCAGGAGACAGUGAUUCUUGUUCGCUGACUUACAAAUGUAGAACUGAUCCUGUUGACGUAGACCAGACUGCUUUGCCAGAGGGACCUGGGCAGCAGCCGAAUGGGGUGAUUUACGGGAGCCCGCAAUGCAGCACCGAGCACUUCGUAACUAAUGGGCCCCCUUUUAAACAUAUGGAUACAUUUACUCGCUGUUCUUUCAUUGCAUAAGCCGCUUAAGCCCUUUUUAGUACUGUACUAAAAGAUACUUUUAAGAUGUUAACAUUGCCCAAAAUCAGUCAGAAUUACAAACUGACAAAUGCCAGUCCCACCAGUUCCUCAAAGCUCCGCCCUCUUCCCCAUCCUGCAAAGUAACGAGAAACAAAACAGAAGCUGGAAAAAGUGGGUAUUUUCCACAUGUCUUUUUUCAACUCACACUUUUCUUUCUUUCUUUUUCGUCUUCCUUUCUUAUCUCCCCCCAGAUCCCCAUCCCCGCGGUAAAAUAAAUAACAUUAGCCAGCACUCUAGCCA